rnacentral:rRNA from 1 species
UACGUAGGUGGCGAGCGUUGUCCGGAUUUACUGGGCGUAAAGCGCCCGCAGGCGGCUCGGCAAGUCUGAGGUGAAAUCUCCCGGCUCAACUGGGAGGGUGCCCCGGAAACUGCCAGGCUCGAGGCAGGGAGAGGGAUGUGGAAUUCCCGGUGUAGUGGUGAAAUGCGUAGAUAUCGGGAGGAACACCAGUGGCGAAGGCGGCAUCCUGGCCCUGUCCUGACGCUCAGGGGCGAAAGCGUGGGGAGCAAACCGGAUUAGAAACCCCAGUAGUCC